AGAGUUUGAUCAUGGCUCAGGAUGAACGCUGGCGGUGUGCCUAACACAUGCAAGUCGAGCGAUUCUCUUCGGAGAAGAGCGGCGGACGGGUGAGUAACGCGUGGGUAACCUGCCCUGUACACACGGAUAACAUACCGAAAGGUACGCUAAUACGAGAUAAUAUGCUUUUAUCGCAUGGUAGAAGUAUCAAAGCUCCGGCGGUACAGGAUGGACCCGCGUCUGAUUAGCUAGUUGGUAAGGUAGCGGCUUACCAAGGCGACGAUCAGUAGCCGACCUGAGAGGGUGAUCGGCCACAUUGGAACUGAGACACGGUCCAAACUCCUACGGGAGGCAGCAGUGGGGAAUAUUGCACAAUGGGCGAAAGCCUGAUGCAGCAACGCCGCGUGAGCGAUGAAGGCCUUCGGGUCGUAAAGCUCUGUCCUCAAGGAAGAUAAUGACGGUACUUGAGGAGGAAGCCCCGGCUAACUACGUG
rnacentral:rRNA from 1 species